AGCAGCCGCGGUAAUUCCAGCUCCAAUAACGUAUAUUAAAGUUGUUGCAGUUAAAAAGCUCGUAGUUGAAUUUCGGGAUCAAUAUUUCGGUCAUGCCGUUGGUAUGCACUGUUAUCAUUGAUUUCUCACCUUCUAAAGAACCGUAAUGCCAUUAAUUUGGUGUUACGGGGAAUUAGGACUGUUACCUUGAAAAAAUUAGAGUGUUUAAAGCAGGCUCACGCUUGAAUACAUUAGCAUGGAAUAAUGAAAUAGGACAUCCGAUUCUAUUUUGUUGGUUUCUAGGAUCGAUGUAAUGAUUAAUAGGGAUAGUUGGGGGCAUUAGUAUUCAAUUGUCAGAGGUGAAAUUCUUGGAUUUAUUGAAGACUAACUACUGCGAAAGCAUUUGCCAAGGAUGUUUUCAUUAAUCAAGAACGAAAGUUAGGGGAUCGAAGACGAUCAGAUACCGUCGUAGUCUUAACCAUAAACUAUGCCGACUAGGGAUCGGAUGAUGUAAUUUUUUAAUGACUCA
rnacentral:rRNA from 1 species